GCGCCUACGGGACGCAGCAGUGGGGAAUAUUGCGCAAUGGGGGAAACCCUGACGCAGCAACGCCGCGUGAGUGAGGAAGUAUCUCGGUAUGUAAAGCUCUAUCAGCGGGGAAGAAAGAGGACGGUACCCGACUAAGAAGCCCCGGCUAACUACGUGCCAGCAGCCGCGGUAAUACGUAGGGGGCAAGCGUUAUCCGGAUUUACUGGGUGUAAAGGGGGCGCAGACGGCAGCGCAAGCCAGGAGUGAAAGCCCGGGGCCCAACCCCGGGACUGCUCUUGGAACUGCGCGGCUGGAGUGCAGGAGGG
rnacentral:rRNA from 1 species